GGAAGCAGCUCCUCUCCCUCCCUCCCUGCCGGCCAGGGAGGAGGGAGGCUCCAACUGUGUUGCUUGGCUGCGUUGCUCACCCAAUAAGGAGUCUAAGAACAACUGGGGGGUGGAGCUUGCAUGCCUUGUGCCGAUCAAAUCGGCCACGUUGCCUGGGGACUCGCCUUUGCUCAGCGCUUCCCAGCGGAGAGGUGACAGUGGUUUUCCUUGCUGCAUCCCCUUUGCCCGGGUUGCUGCGCUGUGGGGCUUGAGGCUUCGUUUGGCUGCUGGCUGGGCUUUCUGCCUUUGGCUCGGAGGGGCUCAGAAGUUGAACAUACCUGUGCUUGGAAAACCCCUUAUUUUGGCUGCUGAUUCCUUAUUUUCGAGGCUGCUGGUCCCUUGUUUUCAAAUAUGUAUCGGUAAGUUGACAGCUAUGGUCUGUCCUGAGUUAUGCAACUUCCUUCCACUCUGAGAUCAGACGUUCUAAAGAAGACGUUCUAAAUCCUUCCAGUGUUCAUUUUAACCAAAUUCAGAUUUUAUCAUUUUAACCAAUAUUUGUUUUCAGGUUUUUUGUACACCACAUAGAGAUUGCUGUAAUUAAUAUCCUGUGUUUUCUUCUGUGAACCCCCCCACCCCGAGAUCUUAGGACAACAUAAAAUUCUAAUAAAUAAAAUUAAAAAAUAAGGUGCAGCUCUAAAUUAUUGGAAUAAAAUAAAAUAAAUUGCAGCUGCUUAUGGAAGGUUGAGGAGUGAGGCAAUAUGCCCCCUGGUCUAUUUCUUCACGCUGUCUUGCUCCUGGUGGGAGUUGAGGUGCCAGAAGGACAUAGCCUGCCCAGACUUCUCCCCCAAGCUGUUCCCCCCGUUCUUUCUGCCCAGAGCACGUUCUCUUAAAGGGUGAUAAAGAGACAGGACUCUGGGAAUUAGCUAUCAGAUUAGGCUGAUUGAUUGAACUGAGUCAGCCAAAGGCCAGAACAGAAAGGGAAAGUACAUAAUACUAAACGCAAAGCAAAAUAGCAAUGGCAUAGUAACAAUGGGCAGUUAUAGAACAUGCAGCUGGAGAGAGAGAGAGAGAGAGAGAGAGAGAGAGAGAGAGAGGUGUUUCUGCGUGCACAAAUGAAAAGUAAAUUUAAUUUACUUUUUAAAAAAUGGACAGUGGUACCUCGGGAUAAGAACUUAAUUCGUUCUGGAGGGCCGUUCUUAACCUGAAACUGUUCUUAACCUGAGGUACCACUUUAGCUAAUGGGGCAUCGCGCUGUGGCCACGCCAUUUCUGUUCUCAUCCUGAGGUAAAGUUCUUAACCCGAGGUACUAUUUCUGGGUUAGCGGAGUCUGUAACCUGAAGCGUCUGUAACCCGAGGUACCACUGUAAGGGAAAGUCAUAGGGAAGGGGGGGGGAAUGACCUGCUUUGAGCCUCCGACAAUUAAGAUGGUAGAUCCCAUUGGAGUCAAUGGAACCAGAGUCUUAACAUUUUGCAUUUCUCUCAAUGGACUCUUAGUGCAACGAAGUCAGUCUCCAAACGGCGCCUAUUGAAUUUUAUGGAGGAAAAUAACAGGGUGCUCUCAGGGACGCAGCCUCCAAGGGCAGAACGUUGUUUUCUCUGCCAAGCAGAGCACAGUCCCAGUCAAGCAUAAGCUCUUUAUGUAAGUCUGGUUCUCAAUUAUUUACUUCCUUCUAAUUGUCAUGGUGAAUGUCAACCUAGUCCCUAAAUUCCUUUGCUGAGGCUCCCUGGAUCAGGAUGUGGCACAAUAGCUCUGCCCAAAGAGUUUGACCUCUGAGGAAGUGUUGACUAAGUGGACUGCCAGCUCGGCCCGGCAUACCAAUCAGACUUAAGGUAUAAUUCGAACACAGGUUCCACCCUGCCAUUUGACUUCCCUUGGAAUCAGCUUGAAAGCCUGCCCUGAGGCAGGUCCAUAAUACUGGGUUGCAGGCAGCUAAGUUCUACUCCAUGGGUAGGCAACCUAAGGCCCGGGGGGCCGGAUCCGGCCCAAUCUCCUUCUAAAUCUGGCCCGCAGACGGUACGGGAAUCGGCGUGUUUUUACACGAGUAAAAUGUGUCCUUUUAUUUCAAAUGCAUCUCUGCGUUAUUUGUGGGGCUUGCCUGGUGUUUUUACAUGAGUAGAAUGUGCGCUUUUAUUUAAAAUGCAUUUCUGGGUUAUUUGUGGGCCAUAGGAAUUCAUUCAUUCCCCCCCAAAAAAAUAUAGUCUGCACCCCCCCUCCACAAGAUCUGGGGGACAGUGGAUUGGCCCCCUGCUGAAAAAGUUUGCUGACACCUGUUCUACUCAGAAUAAACCCACUGAAAGUAAUGGUCCUACAUUAGUCGUGUCUGCUAAUGUCAAUGGGUCUACUCUGAGUAGGACCAAAUAAAACCCAUUGCCUAUUUGCAGGUAGGACCUGCUGCAAAAACGUUGCAAUGCAGAAAUGUCCCUUUGACUCCUGCAGGUGACUUGUUCACAAAGCUUGCCCUGAAGUUACAUGACAGCCCCUCUUUAUUGAACAUCCGUCCUGAUUUGGUUGCAGGGAGGUUAUACGUCAUCCUGUCAAUCGAUGGUCCGUGCCACGCUUCUUAAUGCAUUUUCCGAAUUGAAAAAAAAAGAAGAAAGAAAGUUGUACUUUUAAGUGGAUUUGUUGUGCUUAAAUCCGACCAGAACAAUCCAACACAAAGCUCUUGCACUGGGCUGUGGGGUGGGGAUUGGAUGGAGUCAAGGCAUCUCUCUGUAGUAUAGCUGUCAACUUGCAGAUUUGAAAAUAAGGGACCAGCAGCCUCGAAAAUAAGGGAUCAGCAGCCAAAAUAAGGGAUCAACAAUUACUUUGAUAAAAUACAUAUUUUGUUGCAUGCAAAUGGCUUUAGAUACCUGUUAGGUCCAUAAAUUACCAUAUAGCAUAUAUUCAACACAAAAAAACAGCAACAAUUUGUUGUUGACAAAGGACAGCUGGACAUAGAAAAGGCCCCAUUACCUUCAGUAGCUUAUUUAAGGGACAUCAUCAAUAAGGGACAGCAGUGGGACAUGGCGCUGGGAUAAGGGACUGUCCCACCAAAUAAGGGACGCUUGACAGCUAUGCUCUGUAGGCAAGUGGGAGGCCAGCUAGUAGUUUUUCUACAGAUAGGCCCAAAAUGAGGCAUUUCAAGGCCCAGGAGGCGGCAGAGCUGAACCAGCCUGGAAUCCAUUGGAUCCUGAGCCAGCCUCCGCCCAAUUGAGACAUGGCACCAGACCCAAUCCAGACCAGCUCCCUACAACAGCCUGAAACCUGGCCAGGGAUAAUCCUGCCCCUCCCACCUUCCUCUGCGGCUGCUCCACAAACCCCACGGGGAAGGGAGUGGAGGAUUAGUCUCCCAGCCUUAAUCCACUGGUAAUUGCAUAAACCUAAAUUUCCAGUGUGCAACUGAAUCCCUCUUGCAAAAUAGUGGCAGUCUGGAUAGCAGGCUUGCCUUUUUUUCUGGGAGACUCCAGCCCAUUCCUCUCUCACAAAAGCACACACUCUUUUUCUCACCCACCCCCAACAAGCAGGUGGUAUCAGAAGGCUUGGGAGAACCCCAAGAGCUGCAGGGACACAAACAGCUUUUUGUAUUUUGAAAUAUACUCGGAGUCAAGAGUGGAUUUCAUGCUCUUUAUUCAGCUCAUAGUAGUGAGGAAUGGAAGUUCCCCCAGAAUGUCUGCUUUAUAUACAUUAUUUACACAAUGGGCCCCACGUGAUUGGCUAAUUCGGGAUUCUCCUGUAGGCCAAUCAGGUUGCGGAUUCACUUCCACCUGGAGCUGGAUUGGGUGGCUCCUGUGGAUCAAUCCGACUGCUCCAUUCUGGAUCCUAUUGUUCUAGGACCAAUCAGACUGCUGCAUUCUGGAUCCUAUUGUUCUAGGACCGAUCAGACUGCUGCAUUUUGGAUCCUAUUGUUCUAGGACCGAUCAGACUGCUGCAUUCUGGAUCCUAUUGUUCUAGGACCAAUCAGACUGCUGCAUUCUGGAUCCUAUUGUUCUAGGAGCGAUCAGACUGCUGCAUUCUGAAUCCUAUUGUUCUAGGACCAAUCAGACUGCUGCAUUCUGGAUCCUAUUGUUCUAGGAUCAAUCAGACUGCUGCAUUUUGGAUCCUAUUCAACCCAGUACAUAAAAUAUCGGGGGGGACGUAAAAGGAACCCCCAAAACUCAGCUCAAGAGGACUGAGCAGACAAGGAACAGUGAUUGGGGGAUAAAUGGGAAACUUGGUGGAAGGGAAUGAGAAUUGUAGAGUUGGAAGGGACCUCCGAGGGUCAUCUAGACCAACCCCGUGCAAUGCAGGAAUCUCAGCUAAAGUACCGAUGCCAGAUGGCUACCCAAUCUCUGCUUAAAAACCUCCAAGGAAGGAGAGUCCACCACAUUCCAAGGGAGACCGUCCCACCAUCAAACAGCUCUUACUGUCAGUAAGUUCUUCCUGCUGUUUAGUCAGAAUCUCCUUUCUUGUAACUUGACGCCAUUGGUUCGAGUCCUACCCUCCAGGGCAAGAGAAAACAAGCUUCCCAGGUAUGUUGGGAACUGGCAAUCUGUUUAGCCAACCCUUUGGGCAGUGGUGCUGUGCUGAACCAAAGCUGUGUUCAGUCUUUUACCGAAAGAAAGAAAAAGAGAGAACAUAAAAACAUCCUAACCGUCAUUAUUUCCAUUCCUUGUGCUCAGUGAUAUUAGCACAGGGAAAGAAUUGGAAAAAUAAAUAAAUAGCAUCUUCUUCUUGACCUCCAGAGGUGCCCAACAGCAGGACCAAGGGGUCCUUCAGAGUCCUGAUUUAACCCCUGAUGAUGGAAACUCGGAAAGAUCAGGUCUGGACCCUCUGUGAGCGACCAAGCUGAACCCAAACCACCAGCCAUGUCAUGUAGUCUUCCGGCCGUUUAACAGCUUUCUUGUUUUUGCAGUUCUCCAGACAGGUAUUUGCAUCAGGAAGUGUAUUAAGACCUGGCAAGACGCCCUGUAUCCAUGGCUAGAAGGCUGCAUUUACCAUGAUUGCAGGCCUCUCAAGAAACCUUAGCGUCCUGUUCUUGUUUAUUAAAAUGGAUUAGUCAUUUGGGGGCCUAUACCUGAAGCCUGGAAAAGUUUCUCUGACCCUCAACAGCCAUUUCUCUGACCCCCAAGAGCCAGGGGUAAAACAUCUUGUAUGCCGAGACAAAGUAUACAUUUUGUGCUGAUGGUCUAAAGUAACGGAUUUCCAUUCAUUCAUAAUUUUAUUUGUAUGCCAACUUUCCACUCAGCUCUCACCUGUGGCUCUUAGAAGCUGUCAGCGUGUAACAGCGGCCGCACCCCAGGAAUGGUUUGACUGGCCAGCUAAACAAGAUGUGAUUGAGGAACUUCCCCUGUAUGUGUCCAUCCCUGCCACGGUGGAGACUAAGUCUCCUGCCCCUGGUGGGGAGUGGGUGGCCACGCGGUCCACCGCAACUCCUCCCCACGGGGAAGGGGAGCGGAUUUCUGCUCUUAGAUGCUAAGCCCAGCUUUCACCAUCUUGGCGUCUACUGAGGUUUUUGGACUAUAACUCCCAUCAGCCCCACGACAGGAAUAACGUAGUUUUGCACACCUUGCUUCAUAGCAAGUAACGCAAAGCAGGAGACACAGCAGAAGGCCCUGGCUGACUAUGCCCUCUGACGUGUGUCACUCAUCAGUUCAUCCAGUUUCUUAUUCAAACGUGCGUUCUCUUCUCGGUAUUGCUCUUUCUUGCAUUUGGUUCCUGUUCUGUAGAACUUCUACUUUGGAGGUUAGAUCGUUGAUUAAUACCUGCAUGGGAGCCACUGUGGCCUUCAGUGUUUCGGCUAAUCUCGCUUCCAUUUCCCUCAGAUCUCGUUUUGUUACUGGAUGGUCGUCAUCUUGAAGGGGUGUUGCGGUCUCAGCACUGUUUGCCAUCUCCCUGUUUGGUGUCAUCUCAAUCUCCUUAAUGGUUUGGGUUUGAGGUCUGUUUGGCGUCCUCUUGGAGUAGGGCGUGUUGCGGUUAGGAGUUGUAGCGGUGGUGGUUCCUGGGUGUUGUUGGGUCGCUGAGCUGAUCAGCCGUUGUUGACUGGUGGCUUUUACAGAGCGUUCGGAUUAGGUGGCCAUUGGUGUUACUUCUAGGCUGUGUUUUAAGAGCUUCUCUGGGGUUUCCGUAGUGGCCUCAGCGGUGCCGCCGAGGCGGGGGGGCGGUCAGGUAAGCAGAGAGGCGGAUAGACCAACAGACAGACAGUUCACAUAGAGGGAGGGGGUUAGCAGGCAGAGAUCUGCGAGAUCAGAGGGGUGGGGCCAGGGGAAAUGUGUGUUUACGAGGGGUUGUAUAUACACAAAAGGGGUACUGGGGUCCAGUUAAGGUGGAGGGUGGGUGAAAUAUACUCAGAGUCGAGAGUGGAUUUCAUGCUCUUUAUUCAACUCAUAGUGGUGAGGAGGAAUGAAAGUCCCCUCAAAGUAUCUGCUUUAUAUACAUUAUUUACACAAUGGGCUGAACAUGAUUGGCUAAUUCCAGAAUUCUCCUGUAGGCCAAUCAAGUUGUGGAUUCACUUCCAUCUGAAACUGUAUUGGGUGGCUCCUGCAGACCAAUCAUAGUGCUGCAUUGUUCUAGGACCAAUCAGACUGCUGCAUUCUGAAUCCUAUUGUUCUAGGACCAAUCAGACUGCUGCAUUUUGGAUCCUAUUCAACUCAGUACAUAACACUGGGGUUGGGGAUGCAUUCGGAAACAGAACCAGACAAACGGACUCUCCUCCUUUCCCUUGGCAGCUGGAGCGCAGUGGCGACGGCCGCAGGGUUAGGGCUUCUCCUCUCCCCUUCCGCGACUGCUUCUGAGUUCCUCUGGCCCCCCGGGCUCCGAAUCGACGUGUGUCACUCAUGAAGAUGAUGACACACUUCCUGUGGUGCACCUCACAUGAAAACUACCUUCUCUCUGAGCCCUGACAGUUUCCCUGUUUGUGAAACGGGGGUAAUGAGGAAGCCAGCGAUGUGCUGUGGUGGGAAGAGCAUCCAUCUAGGGCCAGAGAGGGAGAACCGGGUCCAAAACAAUCCCAGCGACAAAGCUUGUUAAAUGACCCAUGGGGCACUUACACGGCCUACUCGAAGGGUUGUUGGAAGGACAAAACAGGGCCAAGCGUGGGGACACUUGAAAUGCUUUAAGAGCCCACAAAAGAACCUCAUGCGGCGGAUUUCUAAGGAAACCUGGUCAUGAGUUAGAGCAUGCCAUCAAAUAAAAUAGAUGUUAUGAAACACUAUUCCUGGGAAGGACACAGUAAACACAGUAAAUCAUCGUGUGAAGAACUGCUUCUGAAGACAGGAAUUUGGGCAUUCGCAGCCCAUUAAUCUCCAGAUGUAAGACCGACAUCUGGGGGAAGGGGGGGGUGUUCUUGUUGCAAUGCUUUAGCCCUCAGAAAGUUGUUAAAAAAAACUUUUAGAAAGGACAAAAGCGAGUAAAAGGCAACAUUUUGGAAACCAUAUUUCUGUUUAUCGGGGUGGAUGCAGCGAGGCAGAUUGCUGAGGGGUGAAAUAUGCCUGCCUCAAGAAGAGUUUUGCAUGCAAGGAGAAAGCAGGCCCUUGGUGCAGCUUGAGAAUUUAUAGCGAGGAAGGCUACACAUUUCAAAGGUAUUCAUGUAGCUUUCCCCAGAUUUCUCUCUCUUUUUUUAAUAAUAUUUUUUAUUAAUUUUUAGCAUACAAAAUUUUUUAAGACAUACCACACAAAUUAUUAUACAUAUGUCCUUGUUUGGACUUCAGCAUCUCUGAUAGUCUUCCGUCUUGAUUAUUUCUCCUGCAAUUCUUAACUUAAUAUUGCCUUUACCUUUUCUAACAAAUCAUUUCCCCCUUUCCAUUUUUACAAUAUUUCUUAAAUUACUCCUCACAGAACUUCUUGUAGUCCUACAAACGUAAUCUGAUCAUCACAAAUACUUUUCAAAUACUCAGCAGCAAGAAUAUUAUUGGCCCAAAAAUGGAAGCAAGAAGAACUACCAACAUUAGAAGAAUGGAGGAUGAAAUUGAUGGACUACGCAGAAUUAGACAAGCUAACAGGAAGGAUCCAAGACAGGCAGGACCAGAGGUUUACCGAAGACUGUUCCCCAGAUUUCUCAAGAUGAAAAACAGCCAUUGGAGGCAGGAAGAACCAGGAAUGGAAGAAAGCUGUGUGGGGAGGGGUUCAACUUAACCCAUUUCCCCCUAAUAUUCAACCGCCUUACAGGGGUGUUCUAAGUACUGCCACAAGAUUACAUAUGUGAAGUGCUUUGGAUAUCUUGCCGUGGGGAGAGGCAAUGGGGGGAUUGUUUAGAGUCAGGAAAUGAUGGGAAGGCAGGAGUUAAGUGCCUUCUGCCCACCUGUCUUGAUGACAGCCUCCUGCAGCUGUUUUUCAUAAGUGAAUAAAAUACAGGAUCAGCCUUCCAGGAGGAAAUUACACCAAAUUCCAUGUACUUUGGUCCUUAGAUCACGUUUCACAUUUUGCCAGAGAACUGAAACAGAAACUCUUCUUGAUACUGCCUUCCUUCCUUCCUUCCUUCCUUCCUUCCUUCCUUGACAUUGUAAGCACUGUAUUAAAAAUAAAUAAAUCACAAGGACAAAGAAGGGUUGCUAACCUAACUUUAGAACUGAAAUUAAUUGGGGGAGCAGGGAGGGAGAGAGAGAGAGAAUUUUCCCUUGCCUUGUGACUUGCCUUGUGAAAAUUAAAAUCAAAUACCCUUGCAAAAAUUGAAAUGUGUCUACGUUGGGUCCUCCCGAGAUGAUGUUUGGCCCACUUUCCAGAGACAGGAGGAGAGGAGGGCAGAGAGAGAAGACAGAAGUGUGUCUUCCUGCCAGUAUUUUCACGUUAUCCUGGCUGUAUGGGAAGAAGUGGAGCUAUAGCCAAAGACAGGUGCCUUAUAGAGAGCAAGGUGGGAGCUCUCUGCAGCUUUGAUCUUGCUUGGAGAACCGCAGGCAACCUGCCCCCUCUCAGCCUCAGGUCCAGUCCAUCAACAAUAAGGCAGUACAGUGGAACCUUGGUUCUCAAACUUAAUCCAUUCCAGAAGUCUGUUCCAAAACCAAAGCGUUCCAAAACCAAGGCACGCUUUCUCAUAGAAAGGAAUGCAAAACAGAUUAAUCCGUCCCAGACUUUGGAAAACAACCCCUAAAGCAGCAAUUGAACAUGAAUUUUACUAUCUGACAAGAGUAACAAUGUACUUGUAGUCACGCACGCAAUCAAUCAAUCAAUCAGUAGCUGAACUGGGUUCCACACAGUCACAAAAACAAAACAAGAAAGAGCCGCAAAAAUGGAAACAUAAAAUAAAUAGCAAAACCAGACAGACCUCAGCAUAACACACAAAAUGGAAGUGUGGCACUCAAAACGUAAGUGUAACACUCAAAACGGAACAUGUUCGGCUUCUGAAAAAAGUUCGCAAACCAGAACACUUGCUUCUGGGUUUGCAGUGUUUGGGUUCCAAGUUGUUUGAGUACCAAGGCAUUUGAGAACCAGGGUACCACUGUAAUAAUGCUAGCCUACCUCGGAGCAUUGUCGUAGGGAUCACUCAGGCAAUGUAUGCGCUUACAAUGCUCCAGGCUGCUAUGCAAAGGCUAAGUAUAGAGAACUGGCGAAAGGGUCCUUUCCAUCUGCAGAUCCCAAGUCAAAGUGCUGUUCUGCCAAGUGCUGUUUGUGCAACGAUCCUGACUCCAGCACACACUUACAGCUGUCCUGGCUGCCCUGAGUUAAGAAUACAUGCCGUCUUUUAUUAUUAAACAUGCCGUCUACCUCUUACGGACAGCGCAUGCAGAGAGCAUCAUACAUUUGUAAUAAGGUUUGACACGCACAGAGAGAAACCCAUCACAAUUCGCAAAAAAAAGGAAGAAAGGUAUAAAUAGUUACAAGGCUGAACAAUAGCAGCAAUGGACUUCUUUACCCAAUCUUGGAACCUUAGCCGACCAGAGGGAGGUUCUCCUUUUCUGGGAAAGCUGUGUGUACACACACACACACACACACACACACACAUCUGUUUGGAACAGAAAAUGGCUGAUGUAAUUGGUCAAAGACAUGCACCAGUGCUGCUUUUUCAAAAAAACAACCACCACCACCCAGUUCUGCUGGAUAGGCUGCACCGAAUAGCAAAACGGCUGCUUUGUAUUCAAGUAGCAGGACAAAAGUGAAACCAGUCAACCAUUUAUUGCAGGGUUGGGGAACCUUUUGCCUAGGGGCCAAAUGAGGACACCAGCCCUCUCUAUAUGGCCCUCAGGAUUCCCCCUUAGGCCACACCCACUAGUGGCUGGAACAGGGCUGUAAGGCUACUCAGUCCAGGCUUUAAAAUUACAGGCGACUCCGCACUUACGUUCCAGGGAGUUUUUACAGAAUGUGGUAGGCUAUUAAUAUCUACAUGCGUAUUAGGAUAAUAGCACUAUAUCAAUUUAUAUAAGGAUGUAUGGGAGUAUAUAGGAACGCGGGUGGCGCUGUGGGUUAAACCACAGAGCCUAGGACUUGCCGAUCAGAAGGUUGGCAGUUCGAAUCCCCACCACGGGGUGAGCUCCCAUUACUCGGUCCCUGCUCCUGCCAACCUAGCAGUUCGAAAGCACGUCAAAGUGCAAGUAGAUAAAUAGGUAGGAAGGUAAACAGCGUUUCCGUGCACUGCUCUGGUUCGCCAGAAGCGGCUUAGUCAUGCUGGCCACAUGACCCGGAAGCUGUACGCCGGCUCCCUCGGCCAAUAAAGCGAGAUGAGCACCGCAACCCCAGAGUCGGCCACGACUGGACCUAAUGGUCAGGGGUCCCCUUUAUGGAAGUAUAUUAGAUUGCAUUUUUGUAUAUUGUGUUUUUUUUCCUUAUACACAUCUUUGUUCUUUUCCCUCUCACUUCCCCCCUUUCCCCCCUCUGUAUCACGUUAUUUGUUUAUCACUGAAAUUCUUUCAAUAACAUAUUGACACUAAAAGUUAAAUGCACGUAAGUUGCAAGUUGCCUUUUCCUAGCGCUGCUUUCCUGUAUGAAUUGUGUGGAAAAGGCAUUUCACGAGUUGCACAGAGCUAAGGCAUGCGGAUGACACUGCCAACACACCCACCCCAAUACCCAUGUGUUGGUCCUGGCAAAACCUAUGAGAGUUGGGAAAGGGCUAUAGCUUAGCAGUAGAGCAUAUACUUGGCUGAGGGUUCCAGAUUCAGUUCUCAGUGGCAUCUUCAGGUAGGGCUGAAAAUUUAAUUCUGUGCAACUUGAAGUGGAUUAAAGUGCUCUGUCAGUCUAGUGCAACAAAUCCACUUUUAAUAAAGAGACAGGCCUUUUGCAGUUAGGAAAGUGACAGGGAACUGUAUUGAAAAGCGUGGCAUGCUUGGCUGAUUAAGAGGGAGUCAAAUAAAUACCUCGCAAGCACGGACGAAGGAUGAACCUUCAGUUUCAUAUAAUCUUCCCCAUUAGGGAUGGGCAAAUCUCAGUUUUGGUUUCUCUCCCUUGCUCAUUUUCCUACUCCACAUUUCCACAUCAGUUUGCCUUUAAAAAAGAGCCAGUGUGGUGUGGCGAGAGCCAGUGUGGUGUAGUGGUUAAAAGCGGUAGACUCGUAAUCUGGUGAACCAGGUUCGCUUCCCCGCUCCUCCACAUGCAGCUGCUGGGUGACCUUGGGCUAGUCACACUUCUCUGAAGUCUCUCAGCCCCACUCACUUCACAGAGUGUUUGUUGUGGGGGAGGAAGGGAAAGGAGAAUCUUAGCCGCUUUGAGACUCCUUCGGGUAGUGAUAAAGCGGGAUAUCAAAUCCAAACUCAUCCUCCUCAUAAAAAACCACCAGCAUUUCAGUGCGAAUUUCUCCUUGCACACAACUUUGCAUGUGCUUUCCCCUAAUACAAUGCACUGCUGUAUGUUGUAUUCACUAACAUACACAAGCUUUUAAUGCACACUUUACACUAGUAGACACAUUUUCGCACUCAUUACUUGCUUGAACUGCACUGCAAAAUUCAGAGAAGCGAGGAUAUCAGAGGUGGGUUGUGUUUUGGUUUGUUUGUCGUUCUGGAAAGCAUGAAUUAGGCAAGUUCACCUUUGAAUGUGAACCAAACUGACUUUCUCCAUUUUUCCCUGCCUCUUUCUUUCUUUCUUUCUUUCUUUCUUUCUUUCUUCACCCUCUCCACCUUGGCAGAGGAGAGAGCCAUGAUUGCGAAAGCUGGACACAUUGCAAGAUUUGGCAUGUGUGUUUGUGUGUAUGUAAAGCAAUGAAACAGGAGAGUUGCAAAGUUCACAUUAAUCAUAAGUUCAAUGGCGCUUGGCUCUAAGGCAACAUUUGCUGGCACUGAUUCGAGUUCCAGAGCCCGAGGUGGAAAGGCUGCUGAAGGAAAAAGCUGGCGCAACCAGCCAGUUGGGAUUACCAACUCUCCGAAAUGAAUCUGUUGCCCAUUGCUUAUUUGCAAGCAUUAAUGGGAGCCAGGAGUACAAGGGAACAACAGCCCAAGGUCCUUCAGCCAGUGCUGUGCAUUUGCUGCUGUUCUGCGUGAGCACAUGCAUACAAAAUGACAUAGCGACUGCAAAAUUCGGGUUCCUGGAAAUGUAAGCUUUUGGUUUGCUUUAAUCAGGUGUCAAGUCUUUACGGUUGCAAAGCUCUUCUUGUGCCAUGAAAUCUCAGAAGCCAAACUACAAGUUAAAUUAGCUCUGUAGUGACAUAUCAGCACAUGUGGUGGGAGUGUCCAAAAAGGUUUUGGAAAAAGGUAUUUGCAGAAAUAUAUUUCAUUACAAGGCAAACAGUUCCCAUGACUGCAGCACUAGCUCAACUUAAUUUGUAUAGUCAUGACACGUUGCAAAUUAGAAAUAAAGGACUCAUAACACAUCUAUUAACUGCUGCAACAAUAACCAUUGCCAGGACAUGGAAAUCAUUACAAUUAUUGACUGUGGAUCAAUGGUUUAAUGCAAAUUGGCAAACAGUGCUAUCGGAAAAGCUGACACAAUAAUAAAAACUAGCAAGAGGCCAAAAGAAGCAUGACAAUUUUUAUACAGCUUGGUGUGAUUUUAUUGAUUGUACGAAUAAUGAGCCAUAUGGCAAAACAGUACCCAUAGUUUACAGCACAGUUUGGUGUGCAGGAAGUAUUUUAAUUUCCCCUUUUCUCCCUUACUUAUGCCCUAUAAAUUUCUAUAAAUCCUCAUAAAUUAAAAUUGUUAUUGUUUUCAAAACACCUUUUACUAGUGGUCAGCAAUCUAAGCAGAUACAUUAUUAUACAUAAUUUCAUAUCUAUAAUAAUUUUAUAUAUAUAUAAUUACACACACACACACUUUAAGACAACUUGUUGAUAUAUUCAGAAAUGAUUAUAAAAUUAUUAAAAUAUAUAUUCAGAAAUGAUUAUCUGAGCCCAAAACUGUUGUUUGAUUUUAAUUCUCAUUUGAUGUAAUGGUGGCGUGUCAUAUGUCUGCAUGUAGUAAAUAAAUAAAGUUUAAUUAAAAAUUAGCUUUGUAGCUGACCUUUCAGCCCAAGGGGUGGGUUGUUGUUGUUGUUGUUACACAAAUUGCCUCGUCUCGACCUGUGACCUGAAUCAGGACCCUAAUGUGGGAGCUAUGGGACUUCAAAGGGUUCAAAGGGGGAAUUGAAAAGGCUAAACUCCCUCCUGCUGUGUUCCUGGUUCAGAUCAGGGCCCCUGCCAAGUAGCAAUCACUGCAGGUUACUGGAGAGCUCAACCGUCAGAGCAUAUGACUCGUCAUCUCAGACUCAUGGGUUCGAGCCCCACAUUGGGCAAAAUGUUCCUGCAUUGCAAGGGGUUGGACUAAAUGACCUUUGGUGUCCCUUCCAGCCCUACAAUCCCAUGAUUCUACGAUUCCGUGACGGGAGGUACUAUAAGUGCCUCUGCCCUGCCCAGCCAACGACUAUUUGUUCCAUGCCUACAAUUUGCAUUGCGGAGGGGGAAUUCCCACACUACCUGCGGCCUCACUGAAAUCCAGGAAGAAUUCAGAUAUACUGCAGCCCAAAGUUCACAUCGUAUGCAAACGUGUCUAGUGGUAGUCUGAGAGAUCGUUUAUUACAGGCAAACAUAAAUAAAUAAAUGGGAGGAGGGAAUCCAAUUGGGAGCAAAGAUAUGUAACAGGGAGGGAAAAGGACAUUUACAGUAUUUUCUGGCAUAUAAGACUACUUUUCAACCCAGGAAAAUCUUCUCAAAAGUCAGGGGUCGUCUUAUAUGCUGGCUACAGCAGCAGCUCCUGCAGCAGCUCCCCACCAAAGGACAAAAUGACCUCAAAUUAAAUCAGAGGACACCGAGCUCUCUAGAUGAAACAGAAAUACGCUUGAAAAGUGGCCUCAGAAGCCCCCCCAAUCACCAGCAACAGAACUCUAACCGCUCCCGGUAGUAGACCACGUGGUCCAAAAUGGUGGCCUCGCGUUGCCCCAGCAACUAGACAUGUGGCCGCUGCCUCAGCCCAAGCAGCCCCACAGUAAAAGAAAGGGAAAGGCUAACAACAAAGGCAGGGAACCAACAAUAGCAUUAAGUGCACCUCCAGCCACUGGGAAGUGGAGUGAAUUUCCGAGCCGGACUGAAGACUGAUUUUGUAAAAAAUUUUGUUUGGUGUGCAUUGGAAGAGGGGUAGUCUUAUACGGCGAGUAUAUCCCAAACUCUAUAUUUUAACUAGAAAAGUUGGGGGUCGUCUUAUACGCCCAGUCGUCUUCUACUCCAGAAAAUACGGUAGUUUUUCCCCCUCAUUUGCCAGGGCCAUCAUCAGGCAGAGUGAGGCCACUGAUUUUUGGUGCCCUGAAAAGAUAGCUAACCAUGACCUGCCAAGGAAAACAAAGAAUUUAUUUAUGUAUGCAACAACAGCGGCAAGAGUCUUGAUAGCACAAGGAUGGAAGAAUGAGGAAACCCCGACAAAAGAACAGUGGCAAGAGAAAUAGAUGAACUACGCAGAAUUGGCUAAACUGACAUACAAACUGCGAGAUGAGGACAACUGUGACUUUAAAGAAGAAUGGGAACUUUUUACAAAUUGCUUAAAAAGACAACAAAAUGAAUUGGACUCCUUGGCAGGUUUUGAAUAAGCAUACACAAAUUUAUUGAUUGAUAACAUGGUGGGCAGAUAAUGUAAGGAUUUGUAUAAUUUUAUAACAUGCAAAGAAUAAUAUGUGCUGAGAAAUCAGAGAGAGGAGCUGAAGGAAGUUUCUGGGGGAGGGGAGAAAAUAAUGAAUAUGAUAUGUUUAGAUAUGUUGUUAUGUUGAAAUUGCUAAUAAAAACAUUUAAAAAAAACAAAAAAAUGUGCUCUUUAGCACAAUUUUUUUUAAAACGCUUGUUGUUGUUUAGUCAUUUAGUCGUGUCCAACUCUUCGUGACCCCAUGGACCAGAGCACGCCAGAUACUUCUGUCUUCCACUGCCUCUCACAGUUUGGUCAAACUCAUACUGGUAGCUUCGAGAACACUAUCCAACCAUCUCGUCCUCUGUCGUCCCCUUCUCCUUGUGCCCUCCAUCUUUCCCAACAUCAGGGUCUUUUCCAGGGAGUCUUCUUUUCUCAUGAGGUGGCCAAAGUAUUGGAGCCUCAGCUUCAGGAUCUGUCCUUCCAGUGAGCACUCAGGGCUGAUUUCCUUCAGAAUGGAUGCGUUUGAUCUUCUUGCAGUCCAUGGGACUCUCAAGAGUCUCCUCCAGCACCAUAAUUCAAAAGCAUCAGUUCUUCGGCGAUCAGCCUUCUUUAUGGUCCAGCUCUCACUUCCAUACAUCACUACUGGGGAAACCAUAGUUUGAACUAUACGGACCUUUGUUGGCAAGGUGAUGUCUCUGCUUUUUAAGAUGCUGUCUAGGUUUGCCAUUGCAUUUCUCCCAAGAAGCAGGCUCAAUUCAUUAAUACUGCAUUUAGGCUGCCAGGAAGGAUGUUCCAGAUUUAGCCUCCCGCAGCAGUAUCUCCAGGCUGGGAUUUCUUGUGUGAAAUUCCUGGAGCGCAGCUGCCGGUCAGUGCACAGUCAGAUGCACCAAUUGCCUGAGUCACUAUAAGGCAAUCGCCUGACACCAGUGGCCGACAACACUUUCUGGCAGCGAGAGCUGCAGAACGGACUCCUUCAAAAUGUGGUGGCCUUCACUGGAGAUUUCUAGGCAGAGGCUUGAUGGCUGCUGUGAUUCCUGCAUUUCAGGCGUUUGGACUAAAUGACCCGUUGGUUACCAGUCGCAUCACAGGCAUCUAUUUGGCCAUGGUGAAAACAGGAUACUGGUCUCUUCUUAUGUUCUUCAUUUUUAUAUUUCGGCGACAACAUUCCACGUUUGUUAGUGAAUGAAUUUUAUUAUUACGGUCACAGACCAGUUCCGGGUCACUUACAGUAUCAGAAAAAUCAUAAAACACAACAGGGAUACAUUGAAUUGCAACUGGGUAUAACAGAGACAAUUCAGAUAUAGCGGCAGUUAAAAAUAUAUAUAAAAUCUUGGUCACUAAAAUAUAACCUAAAAUGAUCAUUUAAAACCUUAAUCAUUUUGGUAGUACAGCUUGUUCCCUAAGUUUCAUGGCAGUCGCAGAAAAUUUGGCCACCCUUAGCGUAAUCUCUUGAUCCUUGUCCUCUACCAGGGAUUUUAGACACAGAUGUUUGUUAGUCUCCCCGCUCCUGACCUAUGCUUUUAAAACAUUUUAGAUCUCUCCAGGGCUUUGUUUUCGGGCGGAACUCACUGGAACUCAGUUCCGGCACCUCUUGGGCGCCAUUGCCAUUAUAAGAGAACAAGGGAGGCGUGAGUUCCAGCACCUCUUUUUCGAGAAAAAUAGCACUGGAUCUCUCUCUCUCUUUCUUAAUAAUAAUAAUAAUAAUAAUAAUAAUUUAUUAUUUAUACCCCGCCCAUCUGGCUGGGUUUCCCCAUUCACUCUGGGCGGCUUCCAACAAAGUACAGUGGUAACUCGGGUUAAGUACUUCAUUCGUUCCGGAGGUCCGUUCUUCACCUGAAGCACCACUUUAGCUAAUGGGGCCUCCUGCUGCCGCCGCGCCGCCAGAGCACGAUUUCUGUUCUCAUCCUGAAGCAAAGUUCUUAACCCAAGGUACUAUUUCUGGGUUAGUGGAGUCUGUAGCCUGAGGCGUAUGUAACCUGAAACGUAUGUAACCCGAAGUACCACUGUACUAAAAUACAGUAGUCUGUUAAAGAUUAAAAGCUUCCCUAAAGAGGGCUGCCUUCAGAUGUCUUCUGAAAGUCUGAUAGUUGUUCUUCUCUUUGACAUCUGGUGGGAGGGCAUUCCACGGGGCAGGUGCCACCACCGAGAAGGCCCUCUGCCUGGUUCCCUGUAACUUGGCUUCUCGCAGUGAGUGAACCGCCAGAAGGCCCUCAGCGCUGGACCUCAGUGUCCGGGCAGAAUGAUGGGGGUGGCGACGUUCCUUCAGGUAUACUGGACCGAGGCCAUUUAGGGCUUUAAAGGUCAGCACCAACACUUUGAAUUGUGCUCGGAAACGCUCUCUCUCCCUCUCAACAUUUCUCUCCUGCUUCCACUUUCUCCCUAAUGUGAGUAAUCUGGUUCUUCUCCGACUGCUCCAACUGGGAGCUGCUGCUGCUGCUGUUUCCAGCUGCUUCGAUGCCAAGUGGAAUAACGUCCUCCAGAGCGGAUGUUGGAACGAUGAACAUGAAUUUCCCCCAAGAAAACACUCCUGGCCCCGGAUGCCAAACAUCUCCCGGCUCUUCCUGGGAAGAGGCAGCGCCGCCGAGAUGCUUGGAAUUCACACGGCAUGAUGUCAAACAUUCCGCCGAAGCCGUUCUCUUCGCCCGACAAUCCCUUUUGUUUAGGAAUGGAAAGAGCCAGGGCUCCCGCGACUUUCCCUUUUUUGAGCAAAGGGUGGGAAGAAGCCAACGGGAGUUUUACUGCAUGGCCUGCUGUUUGUAGCAACCCAGUGGGAGGGGAGGCUUCCUCUGAGAUUCAGGAACCCCUGGAGGCGGAACAACUUUUUAUAUCUGCAACUUGGUAUUGAAUUUGAUAGCAUCAGCCAGGCAUUACCUGCAUGUGUGAAUGGCCAUUGCAGAGUUUGCAUGAAGGCUAGAACUCAUUACAACAACCCUUUAAAAAAAAAUAUUUGUACUUUUCAGACUUAAACAUUUCACUAAUUUUACAAUCGUUUCGACAUUUCAAAACCUGACUUCCUUCCUCCACUUUCUGCGGUUCCUUAUAUUUAUUUUUAAUAUCUUCUGCAUAUCCAAAUGAUCUUAAUUUGUUCACUUAGUCAUCUUCUUUAAAUGUAUACUCUUAUGAAACUGCAGGCUAUUGCAAUAACCCUGGGAAUGUUUUUAUCUGUUUACAAUUUAUCUGUAAAUAUUCAAUUAACCAUUUCCAUUCUCUUAUUUAAAAAAAAAAAAAAAAGUUUGCUAUAUUGAUUUCUUAUUCUUCCGGUAACAUUUUUGCCGCUGUAGUCGCAUGCAUAAAUAAGUUUCUAUACAUUUUAGGCAGUUCUGUCCCUAUAUUUCCCAAGAGAAUAGCUUCUGGGGUUUUUUACGAACAUUAUUUUAAACAUCUUUUUCAUUUCAUUAUAUAUCAUUUCCCAGUAAGCCUUAACCUUACUACAAGACCACCACAUAUGAUAAAAAGAACCUUCUUUCUCUUUACAUUUCCAACUCUUAUUUGAUUUAGAUUUCUACAUUUUUGCCAGUUUACUCGGUGUUAGAUACCAUCGAUAUAUCAAUUUCAUAUAAUUUUCUCAUAACACGCUGUAAUUUUUAUUACAACAACCCUUUGAGGUAGGCAAGGAUGAGAAUUAGCGCCUGUUUCGAGGGCAGCCAAUGUUUUUUAUUGCUGAGUAGGGACAUGACGACAGGGUCUUAGACUACGAUCCUAGAAAACACCCUAACUAGAGAGUAAGCCCCUUUGGACAUAGUAGGAUUUACUUCUGUGUAAAGAUACAUGGAAUUGUAGGGCUUUGGCUGUGUACAUAUAAAACACAUGGCUUCCUCUCUCCCCAAAAGAUUCCUGGGAACUGUAGUUUGCCUCUCACAGCGCUACACUUUCCCGUACCCUUAGCAAAUAACAGUUCCCAAGAUUAUUGGAGGGUAAGGGGAUGUGGUUUUAAAUGCAUAGAUGUUAGGAUAGAGAUGAUAAAGAAAACAGGAAAACAGGAAGACACAAUGAGAGAUAAAGGAGGUGCUGUGGGAUUGGUGGAAGUCAAUGUCUUGUUGUUGUUUUAGUGUUUUUAAUAUUAACUUGUGAGAUAGGGAUAUGUUUUGUUGUUGUUGCUUUCUUUAGUUUUCGAAUGUUGAUUUUUGUGUGUUGUGUAUUGUUAUUUUUUUAUAUCUUUCGUGUUGUUGUUGUUGUGUGGAAAAUACUAAUAAAAUUUAUUUCAAAUAAAUAAACAAAAUGCAUGGUGUGUACACAGCAUUUGUCUUUAAAACAACAACAACAACCUCAUUCAUCUCAAAUAAAAUUUAGCGGCAGAGAUAGCAUCUUUCUCCCAAGAACGGAUGACAUUACCAUUUCCGUGCAAAAAUAGCCAAACCAACCCCCGACAUUUCUCAGCGCACACAGCUCUCGACACAGGAUGUGAUGAAUUAAAUUCUGACUUGUAAGGCAACAAGGCGUGACUCAUCGGCUGGGAAAUUAAAAAUGGUGUGUGUGCUUUUCAUAGAGAAAUACAAACACAGCCUGCCUCCCGGGAAACCUUCUCGAUUCUGUGGAGUAGUGUAACUUGAAAAUCUAGCUGGGGAGUGGACUAUGCAGAAUUGGAUAAACUAACCGGAAGAAUUCGAAACCUGCAGGACCAGAGAUUCACAGAAGACUGGUGUAAAUUUACGGACUAUUUGAAAAGUAAUUGUGAUGACCAGAUUACGUUUGUAGGAUUGCAAGAAGUUUUGUGAGGUAAAUUAUUUGAAUUAUUGCAAAAAUGGUUAAAGAGGUAGAUUGUGAGUUGAGAUAAUUAAAGGCAAUAGGAAUUUAAGAAAUGCAGAAGAAAUGAUAAAAAUGGUGGAUCAUCAGAGGAGCUGAUGGAAGUCCAAAAAGAUUGCAUAAGAUGUGAAGUUCUGUGGAAUGUGUAAUAAUUGGUAUGUUGAAAUUAAUAAAAAUUUUAUAUAUAUAUAUAUAUAUAUAUAUAUAUAUAUAUAUGAAAAUCUAGCUGGAGAGAGCAGCAGAUCCUUCUCUUUAAACUCAGAACUGCCCCAUGUACAUUGGAAGAGAGGAACGUCCUUUUUUUUAUUGUGAAUUCGUGACGAUUUCUGUUCAGCACAAGCGCUGACUCCGACUCCAGUCCGCUUCCCCAGCGCUGGGAUUUAAGCCCUGUGUACACGAGGCUAGAAAACAUCUCCUGUACUAUCUUGAGAAAUAAUAUUCCUGCUGGAGGAGUCCUGCCUCAGACCUGGAGCUGAAGCUUGGCUGCUGAGCCCCGGUCUCUCGGUCUACCUCUGCAGGCUCAGCGAGGCUGAGAUCCCAGACACGGCGUGUGCUCCUAAUUUCCUCUGUUUAUUUGCCUUUCGUCCAGGAGGAAAGAUACCAGCCACUACCUCUCCAGGUUUACGAGCGGCAGCAGGCAGACGGUUUCGUAUGAGGCCUUUGCUAGCACUCUGCGGCUUUGACAGGGCCUCGGCAAACACCACUGACUUCUCCCGGCAGGAAGGCAAGAAGGCAGAGAAGCCAGAAAGGAAGGGGAUAGUCUUUCUUCUGACUCCAAGCUGACCCCUCUGCCAACAUAUUGUUCUCAUUUCACACACGGAGGGCCGGCCGCAGAGUUCAAGCGCCUGUCGCUUUUCAUCAUUCUCAGCUGCGCGGCGUCCAAGGCAGGACCUAACUUGGGCAUCCGUUCCAGAACCCGUUGUCAAAGCCGGGGGCUUGGUCCUUAGCAAACAGUGCCUCUGAGAGGGUGCAGAGUGCAUAGCUGUCAACCGUCCCUUAUUUGGCGGGAAACUCCCUUAUCCCAGCUCCGUGUCCUGCUGCUGUCCCUUAUUGAUGAUGCCCCUUAAAUUUCCCGGGUUUCAAAGGAAGCAGCUCCUCUCCCUCCCUCCCUGCCGGCCAAGGAGGAGGGAGGCUCCAACUGUGUUGCUUGGCUGCAUUGCUCACCCAAUAAGGAGUCUAAGAGCGACUGGGGGGUGGAGCUUGCAUGCCUUGUGCCGAUCAAAUUGGCCGCGUUGCCUGGGGACUCGCCUUUGCUCAGCGCUUCCCAGCAGAGAGGUGACGGUGGUUUUCCUUGCUGCAUCCCCUUUGCCAGGUUGCUGUGCUGUGGGAACCACUGCUUGAGGCUUCGUUUGGCUGCUGGCUGGGCUUUCUGCCUUUGGCUCGGAGGGGCUCAGAAGUUGAACAUACCUGUGCUUGGAAAAUCCCUUAUUUUGGCUGCUGAUCCCUUAUUUUUGAGGCUGCUGGUCCCUUAUUUUCAAAUCUGUAAGUUGACAGCUAUGGCAGAGUGUCAUCUAGGGGAACCGCACAAUUCGUUCCCCAGCAGACAUGAGCAGACAGUGUGGUGUAGUGCUUAGAGGACAGAGGAGGAACGGUGGGCUAGGAGGCAGAAUGCGGCCCCUCAGCCCUCUUUAUCCGGUCCUCAGGAUUCUCCCUGGGUCAUGCAACCACCUGAGCCACACCCCAGCCCUGUUUUGACCCUUCCUUGAGUGUCCAGGAUAUGCCCCUGAAGGCUGAUAAUGUCUCCUUGCUCGCCCAGAUGAGGAGAGUUGUGUGAACAGGUGUAGAAACGAGUCUAGUGUACAAAUUAACAGUUGUUGUUCUGUCCUGUUUUGCUUCUGGCCCCGCCCACAAUGGUCAUGUGGCACAAACACAUCUCAAAAACUGGAUUUUUGUCCUCAAGCUGGAAAAAGAUUCCUCACCCUGGGUCAGAGUGUUAGACUAAGUAAGACCUGGGAGACAAGAAGUCAAAUCUCCAAACACCCACAAAACUACACAAGCGACCUCAUUCUUUCAGCUUGACCUACUUCACAGGGAUGUUGUGAAGUUAAAAUGAGAACUGAGAAAGCCUUGGGUAUCGCCUUGAGUAUCUUGGAGGAAUUCAAGGGUGGGAUAAAAAUGCAACAAAAGGGCAGCUACGAAGUUCGAAUUACGUUUCAUGAAGUAGCUCUAAUAGUUAAUAUUCAUCUAUAGGAAAAGUAAAUCAAUAACUUGAAUUUUUUACUCCUUUCUCAAGACGGCCUUUCCUUCCAGAACGCCCUACGUUGGCAGUGGGCAAAUAAUAAUAAUUACAAGUAAUAGGACUCUGUGCAUGAUGCAAGACUUGCAUUUGGAAGAGUGGUAAAUCUCAACUUUUCCUUUGUUUGUUUGUUUAAGAAGGGAGCAAGUUUCUAGUUCUCAUGAAAGAGGACAACAACAAAAAGAGCCAACUUUGCAACGCUGAAGAAAAUGUGUUCACAGCUCUAAUUUGCCAGGGCAUCUUGUAGCUGGCCACCUGCUUUUGGAAUGCCCCCCAAAUCAUAUUUGCACAAUCCUAUAUUUAGACCACAGUGGGCUAACUCCUGCCAAAGGAGAAGCUCACAGGAGAUGUCAGUGUUAUUUUAUUCCUCCGACCUCAGUGCUGAUGUUUUUUUUUUGCCUGCCAGCCACUCUCAUGCCAUUGGUAUGCAUUGGGGAUUUGGGCCACACAGUUCUCUGGGUGGCCAUGGGUGAAGGCCUGUUAGCUGCUGAUCGGGCAGCAAAUAUCGGAAAUCAGUAAAUAUGUCCAUAAACCUGAACUAUGCUUUGAAAAGCCAGAGCUACAGAUUCUGUCAGCCUCUACCACCAAUGUGCCACAUCCCUCCAAGCUCCAACCCAACCCUGAGAGAUGCAGUGUGGUGCAGUGGUUAGGGUAUUGGGCUAGGACAAGGGAGACCUGGGUUCAAAUUCCACCUCAGCCACAAAGCUCGCUUGGUGAUCUUGGGCCAUUCGCUGCCUCUCUACUUAACCUACCUCACAGGGUUGUUGUGUGGAUUGUAAAUGAGGAGGGGGAGAACAACACGAGCUCCUUGGAGAAAAAGACAGGUUUUAAAUGCAAUAAAUAAAUGAAAUACUCCUGACUAGGGAUGGGCAAAUCUGUCAGUUUCAGUUUCUGCCAAUUUCUGUCUUAACUUCAGAUUUCUAACAUUAGAAAAAAGGCCUCCUGAAAAUGCGCCAGCAUUUUAACUCAAAUGUCGCCUCACAGACACAUCUUUGCCUGCAUAUACAUUUUUGCAAAGCAAUUUUUCCAGAUUCAAUAUGUUUAUAUGUUACUUUCAUUAAUAUAUGCAUAUAUAUAUUUGCACUCUUUAUUAUAUCUGCUCCUGGUUAUCUCCUCCCCAUCAGCUCCUGCCCCCUUACUUUCUCCAUUUCAGCAAAAUAAUUUGGGUGGUGAGAGGAGCUAUUUUGUUCCCAAACCAUGAGAAACCCUUGAUGAUCUACCAGAAACCAAAGAGAGGUCUGCCAGCAGAUUCCAGUACACCAAGUGCCAACGCCUGAGGUACUGGCCCCGGAACGUCCUGCUUUCGUACCACAUUGGUCAGAGUAAGCUCCCCUCAGAAAGUCCACCUCGGUUUACGACUUUGCAGAUGCAUUAGCGGCACAGCCCCAGGUCCGGAUUAUGGCCCCCAGGGCUCUCCAUCAGGCCCUCAGGACUCUCCCUAGGCUGUGCCCUCUCCUCUAGCCACAACCCCUCAUUGGCCAGGCUCCAUGCGGCUCAAGGCCGCAAUAUAAGGUUGUCAUAUUUUGGCAAAGUUGUUGAGCUUCUUUCAGCAAUUUCUGCCCGGACACAGUUUUCCGACGGCCGAAUCCCCGCUAUGUCCUGGAGGGUGGCAGCACAAGAAUGGCCUUUUUUGUGGUGGCUCCCUGUUUCCGGAAUGCUCUCCCCUGGGAGGCUCGCCUGGUGCUUUCAUUAUACACCUUUAGGCACCAGGCGAAGACUUUCUUCUUUGGCAGAUUGACAUCCGAUGCCCUUUUAAAAUGUGUUGUGGAUGUGGGGAGCAUUAUUGGUUUGUUUUUGUUCUUAUUGUGUGUUUUUACAUUGCAAUUUUUUGUGGUAACCACCCUGAGACCUGCGGGUAUAGAAGAAGAGGAGUUUGGAUUUGAUAUCCCGCUUUAUCACUACCCUAAGGAGUCUCAAAGCGGCUAACAUUCUCCUUUCCCUUCCUCCCCCACAACAAACACACUGUGAGGUGAGUGAGGCUGCGAGACUUCAAGAAGUGUGACUAGCCCAAGGUCACCCAGCAGCUGCAUGUGGAGGAGCGGAGACACGAACCCGGUUCACCAGAUCAAGAGUCCACCACUCUUAACCACUACACCACACUGGCUCUCCACCACACUACUUACGAAUGUAAUACAGUGGUACCUCUGGUUGCGAACGGGAUCUGUUCCGGAGCCCCAUUCACAACAUGAGCAGAAUGCAACCUGCGUCUGCGCGGGUUGCGAUUUGCCACUUCUGCGCAUGCGUGUGACAUCAUUUUGAGCGUCUGCGCAUGCGCAAGCAGCAAAACCCGGAAGUAACCCUUUCCGGUACUUCCGGGUCGCCAUGGGACGCAACCUGAAAAGAUUUAACCUGAAGCAAACGUAACAAGAGGUAUGACUGUAAAUAGAUAAAAUAAUAAAACCCCUUCCUCAGGAGAUUUAGGAUGUCUGGAAUGUGUCCUUGAACUGCGACAAUGCAUCUUGCUUCCUCAGAUAAACAGUUUGUGUGUGUGUGCGUGUGUGUGUGUGUGCGUAGAGAAACCUAUGAUUUGCAUUUCGAAUGUCGCACUGAUCUGUUCAUGUUCGUCUUUGGCCCUGCCCACAGCUGAGGUGCGGCCCCAGGAAAGUUCCCCAUGAGCAAAUUGUGGCCCUCAGACCGAAGGUUCCCUGCCUUUGCCUCGGCACCUGCAAAUUUCUGCCAUUUCUGCCUGCACCCUGAAUCUGUUCAGUAACCCGGGGACACCUCACUGCCCCCCCGUCCCAAGAUACAAAAGCUCUCUUUUUAAAAGCCUUGGGAAGCUUCCGCCGUGAACUCUAAAUGAGCCUCCGGACGUGAUGUGUUCCAAAUGGCUUAUUGGUACGUGUGCGAGGAAGGAGCAAGGGUGGAAGUCAAAGGAGGCCCCGGGAGAGGCUGUUCCGAGCUUCUAAUAACGGCAAGUGAUUUGACAAGCACAUGGGUCUCCAACUCAGAUCACUUCCAAAACUAAGUGCUUAUGAAAACGCCAAGCACUCCACCAGCUUUAAAUCUUUCGGCGGGGGCCGCUGGAUUUAAACCACCAGCACAGGUUUUUUCUUCUUCCUCUCCCCCCCCCCCCUUUUCCUCCCUCUGACUUUUUAAGUAACACUUCAGGUUGGAACCAAGUCAAACACUUUAGAGGCUGCAGGCAUAUUGAACUGAUUUGGAAAUAUGUUAGGGAGAGGAGGAGGAGGGUGCAGUAAAUUAUAUUUUUAAACUCUUUGUCUUGAAAAGGGGGCGGUUUGAAGUCUGAGAAACGAGGAGAUCGGCUAGAACUGGAAUGUAUUAAGCGGGGCCCGGCCGAUGACUGCGGACCAACAAGAUCUGCUUGGUUUUCUGCGAGAGCAUGCAGUGAUAUUUGCAUGGGUGACACACUUGUUCUGAGAUGGGCAAGAUGCUGAUUCACAGAACUAAACAACACGCACCCCAGUCAAUACAGGCUGCACGUGAGGGGUCUGACCUAGAUAACGUCUCCUGCCGCUGUGUUCCUAUCUGGGUUGUUUUGGCUGCAGUCAGCGCCUUGAAAAGUCAAGCACAUAUUUACUGGAAGGUCGCUUAACUCAUUUGCACAACACAUACAUCUGGGGAAGGGCUGUAGCUCACUGCUAGAGCAUCUGUUUGCACGAGGAAAGUGCCAGGUUUAAUUCCUGGCAUCUUCAAGUCGGGCUGAGAGAGACUCCUGAAAUCCUACAGAGGCCGCGGCCACUUGUGGUGACAACACUGAGAUAGCUGGACCAGUGGUUUGACUCAGAAUAAGGCAACUCACAACGUCCCAGUGUAACUUAGAGAUGCUUUUUCACUGCUACAUGAUCUAGUGAUUCCCACCAAUUUGCACGGCUCUGUAAAGGGCAUUAGUCAAGCCUAGGGUUCAUCCUGUUUGGUUCGUAACUUCUAGGCACUUUGCCGCUGAAUCUAAGCAAACAUCAAUCGGGUUUUCUGCAUUUUGGCUUUUGCUCCAGAUCUGAUAGAGCGGUUGUUCAUGGGGAAAGGAGCAGGGAGAAUCUGCGACCAGAAAGAAGAGGAACAUCAAGAAGACUAGAAGAAAUUUAAAGACUAUUUGAAUAAAUAUUGUAAUAUUAAAGAUAUGUAAUCACUUGAAAGAAACUAUUAGGCCUAGGAUUAAACUGGAAUUAAUUUUAUAAAUAAGAAAAUGUACGAUAAGGAAAGUUAUGUAAUAUGAUUAGGACUGUGAUGUGGUCUUUUGAAACACUGAUACUGGAAACUGCUACAUAUAAUUACUAAGAAAUUCGGAUGGAAGAGAUUCGAGGAAGUCAAAUACUAUGUUUAUGAAGAUGGAUGGUACUUAAUUUUAAUUAAUUAAGUGGUAAUAUGCUGUAUGUAUCUUUUUUCUUUUUUCUCUUUUUCUUUUAUUCUUUGUUCGUUUUUAUUAUUGUUAAUCUUUUUUUUUUCUAUGUUUAUCUACUGAAAAUAAUAAAUAUUAUUUGAAAAAAAAGAAAAGAAAGGAGCAGGAUGAAAGAAAAUCUGUCUGUUUGGGUUUCUCAUUUUUCCAGUCUUAGGUUCAGUUUGCCACUCCCUCCCACUUUUUUUAAAGGAGGGGAAAGCAAACUAUGAAAAGUUUGCCAGCAUUUUAAUACACGUUUUUGAUGCAAUUUUGCCUAAUAAACUUUCGUGAAAGUAAGAGCUGUUUCCCUUGGUUUCCCUUGCAAGGUGCUAGGCACUCCUUCACUGGUGGUUUUUAAGCAAAGGUUAGAUGGCCAGCUGUCAGGGAUGCUUUAGCUGUGAUUCCUGCAUUGCAGGGGGUUGGACUAGAUGACCGCUGGGGGUCCCAACUCUGCAGCUCCAUGGUUCUAUCCAAAUUGCUGCCUUUUGCAAUAGCGAGUUCCAUAAGACAACGGUAUCAUGCGGUAGGUGACAAAAACCCUUCCGUUUCUGUCCUGAAUCUGCUACCAGCAAAUGGGUUCAGGGCAGGCUGCUGACGCGUGUUUUGAGCGUGUUGUCAAGAGAACUCUUUAAACAGAAAAUCUCCUGCCUGGCUGUGAGCGGAAAUCUUACGACAGCAGUGCUCAAGACUCAGGAAGGCGAAAGUGAAACUUCUACAAGCAUCUUUGCUGCUGAAGAAAGAACAGGAAGGUGGAGGGAGGAGGGAAGGGGGGGAAAACACCCAUUGAAGAAACAUGAAUAGCUUCUUCUUCUUCUUCUUCUUCUUCUUCUUUUGGAGGUAAGUUUUUAAAAAACACCAUUGCAGAAAUGACAGGUUACAUGUUACCUUUAGAUCGAAAAUAUUACUUUUAUGAUAUUUCAAACAUAUAAUAUUAGGUGAUGCAUUACUCAAUAAGCAGGCUAAGCGUGUGCUUAGCAAAGCAAGGAUACACAAAACAGAGAUUAAUAAUAAUAAUAAUAAUAACAUUUGAUAUUUCAAAAAAGGCAUUGAAGGAGUCAUCAUGGGGGAAAGCAGAACUUCCUUUCACUCCCCUCUUCUCUUUUUAUUCCUUAGCCUCACCUAAACCAGGGUCCAGUCCUACUAACAUUUUUCUUUUCAGUGCUUAAGGGUCUCUGAAGGUUUUAAAUUGGACCCUGGUAUUAGGCGUAGAUUUGAAAAUAAAAGUAGAUUUAUUGGCAACUGCAAGAAUCUGCGUGGCCGGACACUGGAAAUAGCGCAAGGCCCAAGGCUUCGGCAGGUUGGUUUGAGAAAAUGUGGAAGGGAGUGAUAAUGAUCAAAUUAAGAUAUUACCAAAAGGGGACAGUUGUCUGACCCCGGAAUAAGCUAACGGGAAGAUGGACGCUUUUUUAAACGUUCUGGAAUGACAAAUGCCACAAGGACAAUAUUCAACCAUACAGAUCGCCUCUGCUUUGCUGUGAUAUGCAGAACAUCACUCGCCCGUGUUUAUUUUUCCUCUUUUUGUACAGAUAGUAUCUCUACUUUAUUGUAACAUUUGUAAAACGAACAAAUAAAUAAAAGGAAAUGCGAAGUGCCUUUACACCGUGUGCAUAUCCACAAUCACCUGCCACAAAGUUGACACACUUUUGACUAUCGUUUUGUGAUGAUAAAUAGUUACACAAUAGCCAAAGUAUGUCCUUUCUACCACUCCUUUCUCCUGCUUUUUAGAUGAUAAAAGCUGCACGUUUUGUUUUGUUUUUCCUUUUGCUGUGUGCAGUCCAGAUGUCUCCCUUCUUAAAUUCGAUUCGUUGUGGGGGGGGCUUCAAACAAACAACAAAAGGAAAGGAGCAACUGGAUCCUUAACAUGGUUGCUUGGAAGCAGGGCUGCAACUUUCAAGAUCCCUAUUUACAUGGAAGUAAGUCAAGAGAGAAGGGACGCGGGUGGCGCUGUGGGUUAAACCACAGAGCCUAGGACUUGCCAAUCAGAAGGUCAGCGGUUCGAAUCCCCCGCGACUGUGUGAGCUCCUGUUGCUCGGUCCCUGCUGCUGCCAACCUAGCAGUUCGAAAGCACACCAGUGCAAGUAGAUAAAUAGGUACCGCUCUGGCGGGAAGGUAAACGGCGUUUCUGUGCGCUGCUCUGGUUCGCCAGAAGCGGCUUAGUCAUGCUGGCCACAUGACCCAGAAGCUGUACGCCAGCUCCCUCGGCCAAUAAAGCAAGAUGUGUGUCUCAACCCCAGAGUCGGUCACGACUGGACCUAAUGGUCAGGGGUCCCUUUACCUUUACCUUUAAGUCAAGAGAAUGUAAGAAGAUAACCGUUGGAUCAGGCCAAGGGCAUGGCUGUAUCCAGCUGCAGGCAUCAUGGCUCCAUGAAAAGUCCCAUUGAAUUCUAUGGUGCUCACUUCUGAGUAGACUUGUAUAGGGUUGUGCACUAUUAGCAGAAUAAUCCAUUAAAAAUCUUGAAAUCCGUUAAAAGGUACUCCUGAUUAAUCAUGCAGUACUUAUUUUUCUGGCUGUUAAUGAUGCACACAGGUAUUUUACACAGACUCUUCUGAGGAACAAAUUAUAUGUUGCAUGAAUUCUUUUUCUUUCUUUCUUUCUUUCUUUCUUUCUUUCUUUCUUUCUUUCUUUCUUUCGCAGCACAGGUGGGGCAAGAUUAAUCUCUUCUCCCUGCACAUCAGUCGUGAACGUGCCUCCAAGCAGCUGCUAUUUACAGUUAAAAACAGAUUGCACUUAACCACAGAUUUCACCCAAUGCCAAACUAGCAAAGUUACACGUAGGCUUGGCCUGGAGAGAAAGGCAGAUGGCCAUUGUGUAGGUGCGCGCAUCAUUUCUAAGCUGAUGUUUCCGCCCUAGCCUCACGACAGGCGUUUUCCCCCAUAUGCAAAUAUAUGCAGAUUUAAUGGCUGGAUUAAUUGAUUCAGACUCGUGCAAUUAAUCAACUAGGAUUUCUUUAAUUAAGGGCACUUCCAGACUGUCGCUGUUUUCUGGUGGGACUCAAUUAUAUACUGGCAACUUGAGGCCUGCAAACUUAAAAGUUGGUUUGAUGCGUUUGCCAGCCCCCCCGCCCCAACACCCCAGAUAAAAGCCAGAUUUUGCACAAUAAGGAAAGUGGCCGGGACGUUCAGACUAUUGUAUUUUAAUAUUUUGUUGGAAGCCGCCCAGAGUGGCUGGGGAAACCCAGCCAGAUGGGCAGGGUAUAAAUAAUAAAUUAUUAUUAUUAUUAUGGCCUAGAGACCCUCCCAGCAAACAAGAGCCAGUGUGGUGUAAUGGUAAGAAUGUCGGGCUAGGAUGUGGGAGACCAGGGUUGAAAUCUCCACUGGGCCAUGAAGCUCAUUGGGGGAAUUUGGGCCAAUAUCUCUCCCUCUGUGUGUGUGAAGGCAGCCCUGUUUAGGGAAGUUUUUAAUAUUUAAUGCUGUAUUGUUUUUAACACUCAAUUGGGAGCCACCCAGAGUGGCUGGGGAAACUCAGCCACAUGGGCGGGGUAUAAAUAAUAAAUUAUUAUUAUUAUUAUUAUUAUUAUUAUUAUCUGCCUGCCUUUGCCUAACCUACUUCACAGGGUGGGGAUUAAAUGAGGAGCAGGACAACCAGGUAUGCCACCAUGAGCUCCUCAGAGGAAAAGAUGGGGUGUAAAUUAAAUGCAAGGGUGGCGCUGUGGGUUAAACCACAGAGCCUAGGACUUGCCAAUCAAAAGGUCGGCAGUUCAAAUCCCCGUGACGGGGUGAGCUCCUGUUGCUCGGUCCCUGCUACUGCCAACCUAGCAGUUCGAAAGCACAUCAAAGUACAAGUAGAUAAAUAGGUACCAUUCUGGAGGGAAGGUAAAUUGCGUUUCCGUGCACUGCUCUGGUUCGCCAGAAGCGGCUUAGUCACGCUGGCCACAUGACCCGGAAGCUGUACGCCGGCUCCCUCGGCCAGUAAAGCGAGAUGAGCGCCGCAACCCCAGAGUCGGUCACGACUGGACCUAAUGGUCAGGGGUCCCUUUACCUUUAAAUUAAAUGCAAUGCAAUGCAAUGCAAUAAAAUAGAAUAGAAUAGAAUAGAAUAGAAUAGAAUAGAAUAGAAUAAAAUAGAAAACAGGAUGGACACUCAGUUCUUUUGGAAGGGACUUAAGUGCCAACCAGGCUCAGAAGUAAGUCCCACUAAGUUCAAGGAGACUUCUUUCCAGGGAAUCCUGUCCCUCCCUCCCUCCAAUCUCUCUGCCGAAUGUUCACAAAGUGACACUCUUGCUCAACGGCGUUUGUGGGUUUUUGUGCAAUGCAGUGGAAUCUGCACACGCACUCAAACACACACACACACACACACACACACACACACACCAUUGCACAGGCCAAAGGAUUCCCUCCUGCCUUUUCCGUCCCCAGAGAAUUCUGCUGUUAGUAAAAAGGGAGCUGAGGUGGUUUUUUUGGCUGUGAUCUGACAGGAGCCCGAACCAUCUCGGCAGCAGGCGUCGGGACUAUUUAUAGAGCUGAGGCGGCUGGAGUAAUAUGCUUACCUUGCUUGCACUCCUUGUCUUCACUCAGCAGGGCAGCUUAGGAGGGGAAGUCGGGCCUGGCAGAGGAGGAGCGGGUGCUGGCAGGUGUGGGGUGCGUGGGGAGGGAGGGAUUGGGGGCUAUUGAGCAAAAAAGGAUCGUCAGUCUUCAAGGGAGUAGAGUCUGCUUAGGCUUCUCUGCUCUGGAGGGUAAAUAAUAGUAGCGUGUGUUACUGCAUAGUGUGGGAUAAUGCAACAUUUACCUCCCUCUCAUUAUGUUAGACCUCAUGUGCACCCAGCAAAGGUUUUUCUAAUCUUGAAUUCAGUUCUCCACAAUUCCACAUCAGCUCACGAUUUCUUGGCUUCGAGGCAUAGCUGUCAACCGUCCCUUAUUUGGCGGGAAACUCCCUUAUCCCAGCGCUGUGUCCCGCUGCUGUCCCUUAUUGAUGAUGUCCCUUAAAUUUCCUGGGUUUCAAAGGAAGCAGCUCCUCUCCCUCCCUCCCUGCCAGCCAGGGAGGAGGGAGGCUCCAGCUGUGUUGCUUGGCUGCGUUGCUCAUCCAAUAAGGAGUCUAAGAACGACUGGGGGGUGGAGCUUGCAUGCCUUGUGCCGAUCAAAUCAGCCACGUUGCCUGGGGACUCGCCUUUGCUCAGCGCUUCCCAGCGGAGAGGUGACGGUGGUUUUCCUUGCUGCAUCCCCUUUGCCGGGUUGCUGUGCUGUGGGAACCACUGCUUGAGGCUUCGUUUGGCUGCUGGCUGGGCUUUCUGCCUUUGGCUCGGAGGGGCUCAGAAGUUGAACAUACCUGUGCUUGGAAAAUCCCUUAUUUUGGCUGCUGAUCCCUUAUUUUCGAGGCUGCUGGUCCCUUAUUUUCAAAUCUGUAAGUUGACAGCUAUGCUUCAAGCCC